rfam:Mustela putorius furo unplaced genomic scaffold scaffold00059, whole genome shotgun sequence.
GUCUACGGCCAUACCACCCUGAACGCGCCCGAUCUCGUCUGAUCUCGGAAGCUAAGCAGGGUCGGGCCUGGUUAGUACUUGGAUGGGAGAAACUGCCAAUUAUUUCCAGAGUGGCUGUACCAU